UGGCCCCGUCCCCCGAGGGGCCCGGCUGACUCCGCCCCCGGCCAGGAAGUGACUCAAAAAAAACCACAACACAACAGUUCGAGAUGUGAAGAGAGGUCCCAGUUGGGUCGGGGCCGCCACGCAGCCAUGCCGACCUGGGGGGCCGGCUCCGCGUCCCCGGACCGCUUUGCCGUGUCUGCGGAGGCGGAGGACAAGGUGUGGGAGCAGCAGCCCCACGUGGAGCGCAUCUUCCGCGUGAGGAUGAGCGUCCUCCGGAAGGACUGUCCCGAGAACCCUCACAUCUGGCUGCAGCUGGAGGGCCCCAAGGAGAACGUCAGCAGAGCCAAGGAGUACCUGAAGGGUCUCUGUAGCCCAGAGCUGCAGGAUGAAAUCCACUAUCCACCCAAACUGCACUGCAUCUUCCUGGGGGCCCAGGGCUUCUUCCUUGAUUGCCUGGUCUGGAGCACAUCAGCCCACCUGGUGCCUGGGGCGCCUGGAUCGCUGAUGGUCAGUGGCCUCACGGAGGCCUUCGUCAUGGCUCAGAGCCGAGUGGAGGAGCUGGUGGAGCGGCUGAGCUGGGACUUUCAGCCAGGGCUGCCUCCUGGAGCCUCUCAGUGUGCUGGAGUGCGGAGGGACUUCUGUGCCCUGCUGCAGCCCCAGGGGGAUGCCCACAGAGAGGCCCUGCUGCAGCUGCCCCUGGCUGUCCAGGAGGAACUGCUGAGUCUGGUACAGGAGGCAUCCAGGGGACAAGGGCCCCAAGCGCAUUUCUCCUGGGAGGGGGGGAGCCCAGGCCUGCUGGGUUCUCAGCAUCAAGGAGUCAGAGCUCCCCUGAAUGAAGGCAGGGGGUCCCUGGACACUGGACCUAUAGGGUGGCCAGAGUCAAGAGGAGAGAGACAUGCUAUAGAGAAGGAGGGACAGAAGCAGGGUGGCCCCAAGGAGAUGGAUUUGGGAUUGAAGGAGCGGCCUGGGGAAGAGGCCUGGGAGAAAGAAGUGGCCUACAGGUCACAGUCAGGGGGAGGAGAGGUAGGGCAGGAAGGGUUCCUGAAGAAGAAGGCCCCGGGGAAGGACGGGGGGCCCCAGGAAAGAGGAGGAAGGUUUUGUAUCCAGGGUGAGCCUCCUGGUGCCCAGGGCUGUCAGAGGGCAGCUCAGCUCCGGGGAGCCUCUCUCCUCCAGCGGCUCCACAACGGGGAAGCCUCACCUCCCAGAGUGCCUAGCCCCCCACCUGCACCUGAACCCCCAUGGCAUUGUGGAGACCGCGGAGACAGGGGAGACAAGCAGCAGGUUGUGGCUCGAGGUCGGGGGUCUCCGUGGAAACGAGGCACCCGGGGGGGCAACUUGGUGACUGGCACACAGCGUUUCCAGGAGGCCCUACAGGACCCUUUUACUCUGUGCCUUGCCAAUGUACCUGGCCAGCCAGACCUCCGCCAUAUUGUCAUUGAUGGCAGCAACGUGGCCAUGGUGCAUGGCCUCCAGCACAACUUCUCCAGCCGGGGCAUUGCCAUUGCUGUGCAGUAUUUCUGGGACCGUGGCCACCGGGACAUAACUGUCUUUGUGCCUCAGUGGCGCUUCAAUAGGGAUGCCAGGGUCAAAGAGGGUCACUACCUGCAAAAGCUCUACUCCCUCAGUCUGCUCUCCCUCACUCCUUCCCGAGUCAUGGAUGGCAAGAGGAUCUCUUCCUAUGAUGACAGGUUCAUGGUGAAGCUGGCUGAAGAGACCGACGGGAUCAUUGUCUCCAAUGACCAGUUCCGGGACCUGGCGGAGGAGUCUGAGAAGUGGAUGGCAAUCAUCAGAGAGCGCCUGCUGCCCUUCACCUUCGUGGGAAACCUCUUCAUGGUCCCUGAUGACCCACUGGGGCGAAAUGGCCCCAUGCUGGAUGAGUUCCUGAAGAAGCCAGUCAGGGCACAGGAAUCUUCUAAGGCUCAGCAUCCUUCCAGGGGCCUCACAGAACACAGUCAUCAGCAGCAGGGGAGAGAAGAGGAGGAAAAAGGCAGUGGUGGCAUUCGGAAGACCCGGGAGACUGAGAGGCUCCGGCGCCAGUUGCUGGAGGUGUUUUGGGGCCAGGAUCACAAGGUGGACUUCAUCCUGCAGCGGGAGCCUUACUGCCGCGACAUCAACCAGCUCUCUGAGGCCCUGCUCAGUCUCAACUUUUGAGCCUCACCUGCCCUAGUGGCUGCCAUCCCAUCAGCUCCAGCCUUGCCUAGCUUAGUCCCUUCUGUGAUGCUCAGACCCUGCCCCAGACCCACUCUGAGUUGGUGCAUUGGGCAAAAUACAAGAAUCAGAAAUGCUGUUCCUGAAGAUCUGUGCUGUGAGAAGCAAGGGACUUGGGAGCAGCACAGCUCCACUCUCUUUCUGAGGGCCUGUUUCUCAGCACAAGUCCACAAAGGUCCGGAGAAACGUGCCUGGAACAAGGGCCCAGGAAGACCUCUCGGCCUGGAUGGCUAGAAGGGCCUGAGCUACCCCCUCACCGUGUACUCUCUUCCCCCGGCUAAUGUAAGGGGUUGGUGAUUUGGGGCAUACCUACACCUGUGACGAGGAUCCAGGCUUGGGGGGGUUGUGGGGCCUUGGUGAUGGCUCGAGCCAGCAGGUCGGUGGUCUCCAAGCGGCUGCUGAGAACCUCUUUUUGGAAAGCUUCAUUCCACCUGCAGGAGAAACGAGGGAAAUAAGCCACUGAAUGCAUACAUGCACAUCUCCCUUCCCCUCUCUUUCCCUGAGGCUCGUCCGUGCCCAUUUCUAAGUAAAACCCUGCAUUGUGGCUUA